UACGUAGGGGGCGAGCGUUGUCCGGAGUUACUGGGCGUAAAGCGCACGCAGGCGGUCUGUUAAGUUUGGAGUGACAGUUGGUGGCUCAACCACCAAAGUGCUUUUGAAAACUGAUAGACUUGAGGGCUUCAGAGGGACACGGAAUCCGGGUGGAGUGGUGAAAUGCGUAGAGAUCCGGAGGAACACCAAAGGCGAAGGCAGUGUCCUGGGGAGUACCUGACGCUCAGGUGCGAAAGCCAGGGGAGCGAACGGG
rnacentral:rRNA from 1 species